rnacentral:tRNA from 1 species
GCAGUGGUGGUUCAGGGGUAGAAUUUUUGGCUUCCAUUCAGGAGAUUCGAGUUCCAUUCCCAGCCAAUGCC